AUCGCUUCUCGGCCUUUUGGCUAAGAUCAUGUGUAGUAUCUGUUCUUUUCAGCUUAAUAUCUGAAACGCGACUCACCGAGUCGCUUGUAUAUUAAACUGAUUUUUGAAUCUAGACCAUGGAAUAGGGGCUUGCUCCAUCCUGGUCACGGGUUGGCCCGGUAUUGCAGUACCUCCGGGAUCGGCCCACCCCUC
rnacentral:snRNA from 15 species